rnacentral:rRNA from 1 species
CUGCAGUCGAGCGAGAACCAGGGCUUCGGCUCUGGGGACAGCGGCGAACGGGUGAGUAUCACGUGAGUAAUCUGCCCUCGGCACCGGGAUAGCCCGGGGAAACCCGGAUUAAUACCGGAUGGCCUCCCGAGCCUUUGGGCUCGUGAGAAAAGGUAGCUUCGGCCUCCGGCCGAGGAGGAGCUCGCGGCGGAUUAGCUUGUUGGUGGGGUAAUGGCUCACCAAGGCGACGAUCCGUAGCUGGUCUGAGAGGACGAUCAGCCACACUGGGACUGAGACACGGCCCAGACUCCUACGGGAGGCAGCAGUAGGGAAUCUUGCGCAAUGGGCGAAAGCCUGACGCAGCGACGCCGCGUGCGGGAAGAAGGCCUUCGGGUUGUAAACCGCUUUCAGGGGGGACGAAGCCACUCGGGUUAAUAGCCCAGAGGGUGACGGUACCUCCAGAAGAAGCCCCGGCUAACUACGUGCCAGCAGCCGCGGUAAUACGUAGGGGGCAAGCGUUGUCCGGAUUCAUUGGGCGUAAAGAGCGUGUAGGCGGCCAGGUAGGUCCGUUGUGAAAACUCGAGGCUCAACCUCGAGACGUCGAUGGAAACCAUCUGGCUAGAGUC